UCAAGAUCAGUUCCGGAUACAAAAGUAACUGCUGUUCCUAAUAAAAUGUGUGUGUGUGUGUGUGUGUGUGUGUGUUCCUGAUAAAGGAACAUACUAAUAAAAAUAAUUGCUGUUCCUGAUAAAAAAAUAAAUAUAAUAUAUGCAAUAUUAAUCUUCUGGGGGGAUUAAGAUAGCUUGUAAAAAAAGGAUAUGUAUCCUCAAUCUAGAAAAACAUUUAUGUCAUACACUUUAAAUUUCCAAAUUAUCUCAGCCACAGAGUGGUGGUAGUGGUGCACUCCUUUAAUCCCAGCACUCCAGAGGCAGAGACAGAUCUCUUCACCUGCUUUACAGAACAAGUUCCAUGACAGCCAGAGCUACACAGAGAAACCCAGUCUCAAAGUCUCAAUGAAAUGCACAUAUUCUAAAAGUCUUAGAUGGUUAAGCUACAGUCAGCUGUUCAUGAGUUGAAAAUUUGAAAGGGUUUCUUAAAAAAAAAAAAAAGCUCUCUAGUUAGGUAAUAUGAGGAAGGAGAAUGUUUUAGAGGUAAGAAAGGACUGUUAUAAGCAUGUCUUUACUAACUUAUCUACAAAAUUUCCCCCUUUGGAUAAAGACAUAGAUUCAAGAUGGUUCACACAGCCCGGAAGUCUCACAGGCAGCAUGAUGUCAGCAGAGUGAGCACACUUUCCGCAGUGAUGCUUUGGCCACCUGUUUAAUCUCACUGUCAACAGGAUAAAACUGAUUUCCUUAGUGAUCAGAGAUGACAAGAAUAUAAAAUUAAUAGAAGAUAACAUAAACUAAAUUGUAAUCCAUUGCUAAAAGAAGAAAACAUUGAAAUCACAUUAAAAAGUCUAGUAGCCAGGUGAGUACUAGUGAAACAGAGGGAGGGUGUCCAUUGCAAGUAAGUACAAAGUCAGGUCUACAGAGACCUUGUCUUAGUAAGUAAAUAAAAACCUAAACACUGAUAGCUACUUUAAUGACAUCAUAUUUGCCAGUUUGAAGAGUAUUUGUGGCUUAUAGAAGAUCCAAAAAAAAAAAAGAUGUAGUAGAGAAAAAGUUAUGCUAAGAACAUACAAAAAGGUAAGUGAAAGGCUAAGAAAAAAUGAUUCUACAGGUUAAAAAAAUGUUUCUGUAAAUAUGAGUAGUAUAAAUUAAAACUUUAGAGCAUAAAGAGGGUAUUCUUUGAUUAUAGAGAAUUCAUUAGAAAUAUAUAUGAGCUCUGACACAGGUCUGAGAACAUAGACUGCAGCUGACAAUGAAGUGAUAACACAAGGCAAAUAUAUAAAGCAACAAAAAGUAACGAGGGCAUGGAUUUAUAUCAACAGACUAUUAAUGGGCUCUGAUAAACUUUAAAUACAUGUGAAAUAUUUACAAAAACUCUGAGGCCACAAAAUAAAGCCCAGGAAUACCAAAGACAUCUGCAAGACUUUUAAGCAACAGUCUAAAUCAUCUAUGAAACUAGAUCGGGUAGCACACAUCUAAAAUCUAGCUCUGGAAUUCAAGGCCAGCCUGAGGUGCAUAGCAUGACCCUGAGUCAUAAUAAUCUUAUUUGCCUAUUAAGACACUGCAAGGGAAAUUCUAAUAUGCCAGUGUGCUUGAAAUUAGAAUUCUAGAAUGUUAAAUCAUGUUGAAAAUUGAGAGUGCUUCUAUGAAUGUAAACAUUCCUUAAACUACAAAUGAAUCCAUUAAAUUGCAGGUUUUUGUUUUUGAUGUGC
rnacentral:lncRNA from 1 species